ensembl:lncRNA
AUGCUGACAGGGAGACGUAUAGUCACCCUCUGGCCACUAGUCCGACAUCCUCUACCUCUUCCUCCUCUACGAGCACACAAUCCCGCUCCCCCACAAGCUCACAGUCACGCUCCCCACAUGGGGAAAGGAGAUCUGCUCGGUUGGCAGCCCGCCGGCCACAACGUUCAACAUCCACGGACUCGGAGUAUCCCGAUUCUCCUGCUCCGUCUACUGGGUCUGAUGAGCCUCCUGCUGCUGCGGGUGACGCAGCAGGCGCGAUACAGCCUGCGGACGGCUCACCAACUUCUGACGCUGACCAUCUGCACCACGGGUCUGAUAGUGAGCUGCCAGACGACACACCGGGCACAUCAGGCUUACAGCAAUUCACUUAUCCGCCGCCGCCGCCGCCGAACUGGUUUCAAUCCGGGGAGGACGAACCUUCCUCUGAUCUUGAUUAGUUGCAUGCUGAUGUUAACCCUUGUCGGAUUAACAACGGGGGAAGUUUUGGUGUCAACUAACUUGAACACGAACACACAGCACACGCCAACACUAGAUACGUGUGCUUUGGCAAUGAUUACGCUAGCAACUCACAGAGGGAUAGUAGAUAGAAAUAAUGGAGAAAUCAAACGUAUAAUGCAUGUCAAAGCAGACACUUAUGAUUUUGUACUAACAGAAAUACUGGGAACCGAGUCAAUGGGUAAGCAUUGGCUGGGAUAUCCCCAAAGCGCGGACUGUCGUGGGGAAGGGACGGUGACCAUUCAGGUAAGAUGCGCUAAGACAGGGUGUCAGAAUGAGCAAACAGGACAAAGCAUGACAGUGAAGGAAGCUGAAAGUAAAGUAAAAUUGCUAAAUACAAGACGGAAAAGGGAUCUAGAUAAAUUAAGAACAUCACAUUGGGACACAAACAUGUUCCAACAGUGGAUAAUGUACUCGGCGAAAUCAAUGUUUGAAGCUAAAAAACGGAAAAAACAAGAUUGUAUUGCCUGCUACAACGCUACAAAACUACCACGAAUCCAGGCGAUACCAGGAAGCGAACUAGGGGGAUGCCCGGACAUUACUAAAUGUUUUGCCCUCUGUGCGAUGCACAUGGCAGGAGGCUUACCGCCAUUACCGGGGUGGAGUGAUGAUAGAAAAGUCUGCCCCACGUUGCUGUCAGACGACGAUUAUGAUGUAGUAGGAGCACUACCCCUAGUGGUGCACAAACCGGCUAACAUUAUCUUCCCUUUCUGCAUAGCACGAGGAAAGGAGGUGUUAGAAGUUGUCCAUAGAGAAUCACCGAAAUUGUCGGACGCGGGAGAACUGGUGAGAUGCAGCAGAAUCGACUGGUACCCGGAACUAGCCAACGGGAACACCACAGCAACCAUCAAAUUGUGUAAGACCGGCCCAAAGGCCCAAGUUCAAUGUGAACAGAUAGUACCAAACGGGGGAGCAGUAAUCUAUGAACGAAAUUCAUCCCACAUAGCUCAAUACAGUUUGUUAGACUUGACAAAAGGGACGAGGCCGUUGGGAGAUAUUUUCUGGACUUGUGAAGGUAAUAACACCAUGAUGCCAAAUUUGCCUGCAAAUUGGAAAGGGAUAUGUGCCCCAUUAAUGUUAACAGGACAACUGUCAUUAAUUACGCAAAGGGCGCAACAAAAUCAGGCAUCUCCUAGAAACAAGAGAAAUACCCAGGACUCUAUUGAAAAUUGGGAAUGGGACUGGAAAGCAACAAAUGAAAUUUAUAUCACAUGGGAUCAGGUCCCAUUUGGUGUACCAGAAGAUCAGGUAGCCAUAGGCUCCACAUGGAUAAAAUCCGGACGAGGAGCAGGGUCUAUUCCAAUUUAUGGCUCAAUUGCAAAUGCUCAGUACAUAGCUCGGAACAGUCGUUGGAUAAAUUUUUUGUGGUACAAUCAAGAUUCAAGAGUACUUUAUUGA